rnacentral:rRNA from 1 species
UACCAGCUCUCCGAGUGGUAGGGAUGAUUAUUGGGCUUAAAGCGUCCGUGGCCGGCUUAGCAAGUUUCCUGUUAAAUUCAGCGACCUAAUCGUUGAGCCGCGGGAAAUACUACUAGGCUAGGAGGCGGGAGAGGUCGACGGUACUUCUGGGGUAGGGGUGAAAUCCUAUAAUCCCGGGAGGACCACCAGUGGCGAAGGCUGUCGACUAGAACGCGCUCGACGGUGAGGGACGAAAGCUGGGGGAGCGAACCGGAUUAGAUACCCGGGUAGUCCCAGCUGUAAACGAUGCGGGCUAGGUGUUGGGGUGGCUACGUGCCGCUUCAGUGCCGCAGGGAAGCCAUUAAGCCCGCCGCCUGGGGAGUACGGCCGCAAGGCUGAAACUUAAAGGAAUUGGCGGGGAGCACCACAAGGCGUGAAGCUUGCGGUUC